rnacentral:rRNA from 1 species
CAGCAGCCGCGGUAAUACGUAGGUGGCAAGCGUUGUCCGGAAUUAUUGGGCGUAAAGCGCGCGCAGGUGGUUUAACAAGUCUGAUGUGAAAGCCCACGGCUCAACCGUGGAGGGUCAUUGGAAACUGUUAAACUUGAGUGCAGGAGAGAAAAGUGGAAUUCCUAGUGUAGCGGUGAAAUGCGUAGAGAUUAGGAGGAACACCAGUGGCGAAGGCGGCUUUUUGGCCUGUAACUGACACUGAGGCGCGAAAGCGUGGGGAGCAAACAGGAUUAGAUACCCCCGUAGUCCCUGUCUCUUAUAC